CUCAUGGAGAAAAACUUCUGCCUCAUGUUUUCAGACAAGUCCUAAAAUGCAGAAAGAACAGUUGAAGAACAGAAGCAUCUCUCAACAGACUAUUGCUCUGCUAUGGAAAAAUGUGAUUCUGAAGUGGCGGAUGAAAACGCAGAGUUUUCAGGAAUGGUUUGCAAUGGGGCUGAUUAUCCUGAUAACAGCAUUAAUCCCACGUAUAGCCUUCCAUCUAUCAAGUCAUGAAAUACCUCAGUCUUUUCUUGGACAGCUUGACGAUCCAUCUUUCAAUUUUACUGGAGUGAAAAUUCUAUAUACCCCAGGAACAAAGAUGGCAAGAAAAAUAAUGGAGAAGAUAGAAANAGUCUCUGUCAUGCAAGGAAUACACACAGAACUUGUGGAAGAUGAAAAAGCAAUGNAAGCUGCNCAGGAGGAGGACNNGGAGCUUNUUGGAGUUGUAUUUCAGGAUGACACUUCCUAUCGACUCCGAUUUCAUNNNUAUAAUGUGAUUUCUCCAANCACUUACNUUGAAGAAAUAGGUAA
rnacentral:lncRNA from 1 species